GUGGGGGAUAUUGCACAAUGGGGGAAACCCUGAUGCAGCGACGCCGCGUGAGGGAAGACGGCCUUCGGGUUGUAAACCUCUGUCUUUUGGGACGAAUGAAUGACGGUACCAAAAGAGGAAGCCACGGCUAACUACGUGCCAGCAGCCGCGGUAAUACGUAGGUGGCAAGCGUUGUCCGGAAUUACUGGGUGUAAAGGGAGCGUAGGCGGGAAUGCAAGUUGGAUGUCUAAACUAUCGGCUCAACCGGUAAUCGCAUCCAAAACUGUAUUUCUUGAGUGGAGUAGAGGCAGGCGGAAUUCCUAGUGUAGCGGUGAAAUGCGUAGAUAUUAGGAGGAACACCAGUGGCGAAGGCGGCCUGCUGGGCUCUAACUGACGCUGAGGCUCGAAAGCGUGGGUAGCAAACAGGAUUAGAAACCCUAGUAGUCC
rnacentral:rRNA from 1 species